AUAUUUAUUUAGCAGGGGGAAAUACCAUGAUCACGAAGAGGGUUUUACUAUGAGCGAGGCUUAUUCGUUGUACUAUGGAUGUGUUGACCCUUGCGAUUAUCCCCAAACGUCGUGAAACUCGAUUGCAUAAUUUGUGGUGUUAGAUGGGGCACUGCGUUCGCGCUUCACCUGG
rnacentral:snRNA from 1 species